GCCCUUGUGGCCUAAUGGCUAAGGCAUCAGACUUCUAAUCUGAGGAUUCAGGGUUCGAAUCCCUGCUCGGGCU